AUAUAAAUAAGCGGAGGAAAAGAAACUAACAAGGAUUCCCUCAGUAACUGCGAGUGAAGCGGGAAAAGCUCAAUUUUGAAAUCUGCCAAGAGUGACAUUCUUGGUCGAAUUGUAGUUUCAAGAAAGAGUGGCUGAGAGAAGUCAGUUGGAUGCAAGUUCCUUGGAAAGGGACAUCAGAGAGGGUGACAAUCCCGUCCACCGUCCUUCUGUUUUGCUUCUCACCGAAAGGCCCUCUUUUCCAAGAGUCGAGUUGUUUGGGAUUGCAGUCAUGCAA
rnacentral:rRNA from 1 species